rnacentral:rRNA from 1 species
AAGCCUGGGAAACUGGGUCUAAUACCGAAUAGGACUACGCGAUGCAUGUCGUGACUGGGAAAACAUUUGCGGUGUGGGAUGGGCCCGCGGCCUAUCAGCUUGUUGGUGAGGUUACGGCUCACCAAGGCGACGACGGGUAGCCGGCCUGAGAGGGUGACCGGCCACACUGGGACUGAGAUACGGCCCAGACUCCUACGGGAGGCAGCAGUGGGGAAUAUUGCACAAUGGGCGCAAGCCUGANNNAGCGACGCNNCGUNNNNGANGACGGCCUUCGGGUUGUAANNNNCUUUCGCCANNNACGAAGCGCAAGUGACGGUACCUGGAGAAGAAGGACCGGCCAACUACGUGCCAGCAGCCGCGGUAAUACGUAGGGNNCGAGCGUUGUCCGGNNNUACUGGGCGUAAAGAGCUCGUAGGUGGUUUGUCGCGUUGUNCGUGAAAACUCACAGCUCAACUGUGGGCGUGCGGGCGAUACGGGCAGACUGGAGUACUGCAGGGGAGACUGGAAUUCCUGGUGUAGCGGUGGAAUGCGCAGAUAUCAGGAGGAACACCGGUGGCGAAGGCGGGUCUCUGGGCAGUAACUGACGCUGAGGAGCGNNNNCGUGGGGAGCGAACAGGAUUAGAUACCCUGGUAGUCCACGCCGUAAACGGUGGGUACUAGGUGUGGGUUUCCUUCCUUGGGAUCCGUGCCGUAGCUAAC